CAAAGGUUUAGUCCUAGCCUUACUAUUAAUUUUAAUUUUACUCAUACAUGUAAGUUUCAGCACUCCUGUGAGAAUGCCCUCCACCACCAGUUAGUGCUAGAGGAGCUGGUAUCAGGCACCAACAGCCCAAGACACCUUGCUUAGCCACACCCCCAAGGGAAUCCAGCAGUAGUAAACAUUGAACAAUAAGUGAAAACUUGAACCAGUGAUAAUUAAGAGAGCCGGUAAAUUUUGUGCCAGCCACCGCGGUUAUACAAAAGGCCCAAAUUAAUAGACUGCGGCCCAAAGCGUGGUUAGAGGACAUAAAAAUAGAACUAAAUCACAACUGAGCCGUUAUACGCAAAAGUUAGUGGUAGACACAAAAACGAAAGUUGCUCUAAAACAACACUUGACCCCACGACAGUUAGGAAACAAACUGGGAUUAGAUACCCCACUAUGCCUAACCGUAAACUUUGAAAACCUCCGCCAGAGUACUACGAGCCACAGCUUAAAACUCAAAGGACUUGACGGUGCUCCACACCCACCUAGAGGAGCCUGUUCUAUAAUCGAUAAUCCACGAUAGACCUCACCACCAAUUGCAAACACAGCCUAUAUACCACCGUCCCCAGCUCACCUCACAAGAGAAAAGUAGUAAGCAAAAUUAUUAAAAAUAAAAACGUCAGGUCAAGGUGUAGCAUAUAUGGCGGAAGAAAUGGGCUACAUUUUCUACACAGAAAAUACGGAUAACCUAAUGAAACAUUAGACCUGAAGGAGGAUUUAGCAGUAAAGAGAAAAAAGAGAGUUCUCUUUAAAUUGGCAAUAGAGCGUGUACACACCGCCCGUCACCCUCUUCGAUAAAACAAUACAACUACAUAAAACACUAACAAAGAAAAGAAGAGAAAAGUCGUAACAUGGUAAGCCUACCGGAAGGUGAGCUUGGA
rnacentral:ncRNA from 1 species